GGCAGUGUGGCUUUGUGGUCGUGCGGCUAAGGUCACCAAGCCUUUAGUCUCAUCGUGCUGUGGAGCGCGGGUUCGAUUCCCGCCACAGCUG
rfam:Aedes albopictus isolate Foshan contig20370, whole genome shotgun sequence.